AAAUAGGUUGGACUUACCUUUUGAUCGUACUGUGUACGAUUUUGUACAAAGUCUAGUCAGCGAGCUACCUAUGAAUUAUGACUUCAUACACUUGUAAAAUUAAAGUUUUAUUUUCACUUUUGUUUUUAAGAAGUCAACUGAGAUUUUCAGAAAAUGUAGGACUAUCUUUUGUUUUUCCUCUCCUUUUCUAUGAUGAUUUUCCUGCUGUCAAGCUUUUCUUGUAUAAAGCUCAAUUUCUCUAUGACCACUGAAGUAAACAUCCUGAUGCAUUCUUGCCAUGUGAAUGUUGAGACCGCGUUCAUUUUUGAAAUCUCCUUUCUGACAGACAUAUUCCACAGGAUCAACUGAGAUGUUAUUUCACUGGAUUAUUUAAUGGAUUGGCUUAUUAGGCAUAUGUUUGGAUAUCUCUGACAUACUAAAUGGUGAUCAAAGAGAUAUUAAUUAGGAAUCUAAUAAGAGAAAAGGAGGAAUUUACAGAAGAUUAAUCCUAAGUCAUUUACAUUUGUUUUGAUUCUAAAUAUGUGUGAUAUAUGGCAUACAUAUAAUUUCAUUUUCACUUUUGUUUCUUGGUAAUGAGCUUUUCAAAAAUUUAAGGACUACAUGUUGUACUGUGAUGAUGCUAAAAAAAUGUAUUUUUCUGUGUGCAGUACUGACAGUCAUCAACAUGGAAGAUGUUUUGUUCCUAACCAUCUAUAAUCAAUUCUCUAUGAAGUUCAGACUGUUUGCUCUUCCUUUGGAAAUACACAGUUAGUCAACCAACAUAGAAACACACAAACUUGAAGGAUUCUCUAAUGAGGGCUUAUGGAAAUGAUCUAUGUUUACUCUCAGAAUGGUGAAAGACUAUCAGAUUAUGCAAAGACUAACAGAAUAUCCUCUCUUGGAACACUGAAACAAGAAAAUCAAACUUAAAAAGAUGGAGGAUUUAAGAAGAACAUGAAUAUGAUUUCCAACUAAUUUAACCAGUACGAUCAUAGACUGUGGUUUACAGGAUGACAAAGAAAGAAGUCAGGAUUGUAUCUUUCACUGUCAGACACUGACUAAAGUGGACUGGAUAAAGUGUAAUCAUUUAUCAAACUGAGAUCUAGUCAAAUCAAGUAUUGAAAAUAUGAUUUUCUGAUAGCAUGAGCUCUUUAAAAACUAAUUCUUACGGACCUCAAAGUAUCUGAAUGUGACUUUUAUUUUGACCAAUUCAUAUUGAAGACUGUUGUUAUGUAUGGUAAUUACACAUUUAAACCUUUUAUUUUUCAUCUAAUUUUUACAACCCCCUAGAAAUUACACAGAUAUCCAGAUGCUGAAUUUAAUGUUAUUAUUUAACUUUCCUGGAAUUGUAAAUAUAUUUUGUUUGUGUAUGUAUUAUGUUUAUUUUUGAAUUUGAAAUUGGUCUCAGUAAGACCCCCAAUAAAGAUGCAAGUGUCCCAUAAUCUGUGGUUUAAUAAUAUCUUGAAUAUCUUUAUCAUACCAUAUUCAUCAUACUCAUUACAUAUAGAAUGGUUGUAGGAAUACACUUUGUUGUUUAGGACACUUUGUCAAGGUCAAAGCAUAAGAUUGAGAUGACUUCUUUGACAAUAAUUUGUAACUUACAAACUUCACAUCAUAAGUACACAGAUGAAGAAUCAAUAAGAUAUUUCUAUAGAUAUUUUUUGGAUCAUUUACUCCUGGGUAAAAGUUAAUUACUGAGAUUACUGAUUUGAAUCCUGUAAUCCCUGUAAUGCAAUAACUUCAACAUUGUGUGAUAACUUAUAGACUUUAUGAAAAUUAGGUGCAAAUUCUUAGGAAAGGAUUGAAAUGUUAAUCAAAUGAACAAUGUUCAAGGGUGUAUAUAUGACUAUUACUAUGUAAUACCUAGGGUUUCUGUAAAACUCCUAUAUUCACUACAUAGAUAAAGACCGGUAUAAUAUAUAUUUUAAACUAUGAUGAAGGGGAAAAUAGGUCAAAAACUCUCCCCUUCAUAUCUUUCAUAUUCUGUCAUACACAACAAUAGAUAAAUUGCAGUCAUUUAACAAACUGAGUUCUAAUCAAAUCCUAGAAUUGAUAUUGUGAUUUUCUGAUAGUAUGAGAUCUUCAAAAAAUAA